rnacentral:lncRNA from 1 species
CAGACUUAUUUUGUUGUAGAAAGCACAGGCAGAAUUGGAUCACAUACCAAUUCUUCCAUGGCCUGCAGUGUAUUAAGUUUUACAGAUUGGAGAGGUUGGGGGAAGGCGUGGACGGUAAGCAUAAUGAAAGGACAGCCUGUGUGGGGACGGCAUCUGGAAUCUAUGUAAUCCAUGUUUCACUGCACAAGCAGAGAAGCAUUUCAAUCAUCACUAAUCUCCAUUGACAUAAGCCACAAGAACUACAAUAUUUUACCAUAUAAAAGUCAGAGGUACAGAGAAGAAAGUAAGCAAGAAGCAUCUGAGCCAGGUGGUUUGAAAUAAGAAGAGAUGAUAAACAGGCUUGAAGAGCUCUGGUUUAAAAUAAUGGUUGGAAAAAAAAUAAAUAAAAUGAUGGCUGGCAGCACCUCGCAGCGCAGUGUCUCUCAACCAACCUCUCACUAAAAUAUGGAUUAAACAGAGGAAAAGAAGAAAAUAUCGCAUGUCAAAUGAAGUCAUACAGACCUGCUAGGCACUAAGAAUAAUGUACCCUAAUUUUGUUGUGGAUGAAGUCUACUUGAGGAAAUCCUACUGAGGCUUCCUUCAAGGGAAACUGCACUUCACUGUUAUAAAACAGAGAC